AGCACAACAAACCCCGCGCCUCACUCACUAGCUCCGGAGCACCCGCGCCGGGCGGCAUGGGGACUGGCCGGAGGGGGAGGGCCUGGGGAGGGGGUAGGCAGAGCUCCGGGAGGAGAUGAGGUGAAAGUAAUUGAUGCUGCCCAGCCCCAGCCUGGCAGUGGGAGAGGCAGGGGAUGCGUCAGUGUCGCGUUGGAGCUGGCAGAGGUGUGAAUGAGCAGGGGAGACGCGCGCGCCGAGUGCUCGCCCCGGGAUGGCCGCGGCUCGGGGACCCGUGACCCCCUCCCCAGAACAGAGUCUGUUCUCAAAGUCUGGCAUGGUGCCUACAAGUCUGGUCUCCUCCCCCAACUCAUGGCCCAGCACCCUCCGGCCAUGGCCCAGGUCAGCCCCCCAGGGCCCUCUCCCCAGCCUAGGGCAGUGAGAUGGCUCCCUGGACCCCAAUCCUGAGGCCCAGGCUGCCCGGCCCAGGUGUGGCUCCCCCCACCCCUGUGCCCCCAGGAAGAAGCCUCGAGCUGGGGGAGGGGUCCGGCGUCCCCGCCCCCGCAGCCGCCUGCCCACGGGCAGCGUGCUCAGCCUGGCGAUGUGGCAGGCGGCGGGAGGGGUGCUGUCUGGACACAGGCCCCUUUGUGCCCAGCCC
rnacentral:lncRNA from 1 species